GCAUUGUUGGUUCACUGGUAGAAUCCUCGCCUGCCAUGCGGGAGACCUGGGUCAGAUUCCCAGCCAAUGCA
rnacentral:tRNA from 1 species